GUUGUUCCCCUUCCCAUACCAGGGGCUCCAGGUCCACCUCCUGUUAUGCACAACCUGCAGCCCCUGGGUCGGCCUACAGUUGCCAUGGGGUACAGGGAGGGGGCAAGCCUUCCACUGCCUGUACCCGAUCACAGCCUGGGGAGUUAAACCUUCCGAGCUUUCCAGUCCUGCAUCCAGGCCUGGAUAUGCAUCAGGCCUCCUAUCAGCCUCUGCUCACCCCCUAAAGGUCUCAUGAUGGAGACCCCAACAUCCCUUAUCCAGACCCCCUGGCCUCUGACCGACAGCCCUCCUGGGACCAAUCGCAGGGCUAGCCACACCUUCUACUCGAGGAUGCACCUUCUACUACAAGAACUCUUCACUUCUCCUUCAGAGUGAAAGACCCUGGAAUCACUCUCCUUCGCGUAUUUCCA